rnacentral:rRNA from 1 species
AGGAAUCUGCCUGGUAGUGGGGACAACGUUUCGAAGGGAACGCUAAUACCGCAUACGUCCUACGGGAGAAAGUGGGGGAUCUUCGGACCUCACGCUAUCAGAUGAGCCUAGGUCGGAUUAGCUAGUUGGUGGGGUAACGGCUCACCAAGGCGACGAUCCGUAACUGGUCUGAGAGGAUGGUCAGUCACACUGGAACUGAGACACGGUCCAG